GAAUAUUGGACAAUGGGGGGAACCCUGAUCCAGCCAUGCCGCGUGUGUGAAGAAGGCCUUUUGGUUGUAAAGCACUUUAAGCGAGGAGGAGGCUACUUAGAUUAAUACUCCAGGAAAGUGGACGUUACUCGCAGAAUAAGCACCGGCUAAACCUGUGCCAGCAGCCGCGGUAAUCCGGAGGGUGCAAGCGUUAAUCGUAUUUACUGGGCGUAAAGCGCGCGUAGGUGGCGAAUUAAGUCAAAUGUUAAAUCCCCGAGCUUAACUUGGGAAUUGCAUUCGAUACUGGUUGGCUAGAGUAUGGGAGAGGAUGGUAGAAUUCCAGGUGUAGCGGUGAAAUGCGUAGAGAUCUGGAGGGAUACCGAUGGCGAAGGCAGCCAUCUGGCCUAAUACUGACACUGAGGUGCGAAAGCAUGGGGAGCAAACA
rnacentral:rRNA from 1 species